GGUUCGCGGUGAAGUGGUGAAUUUCCAUCCUCCGAAAAACUUAGCCAUUCCAUCGAUUUAUUUCCAUAUUAUAGAAUUAAAGAGUUCACAUUAACAUUAUCAUUAUAAUUGUCACUAUCAUGGUCAGGGGCAUGUCCCGAUCUAGUUUGAUAUUCGGAUUGUUUUAGAGACUUUUGUGAAAAACUAUGGAUUGGGAUAUUUGUUUGGAAUCGUAGAAUCUUUGUCUUGGUGUAUUUAUCUUUUAUAUGUUUGUUUGGAUUGCUUUCACUAUUAUACUAUAUUGUGUUCAGAUUGGCUAGGCUCAGUGGGUGGCUUUCUGUCCUCGGUGGACUUGAGAUACCCGUCACGACUAGGCCCUGAUUUGGGUCGUGACAGUAAGGGUUGUUAAAACUCAAUUGAUUUUUCAUAGAGUUCAAAUGCUUUACAGACAUCACAAAUUAUUUUUAAUUGCCUUGAUAGAUCCUUUCGAAGACAUAAGGAAAAUUCAAGAUACAAAAGAAGGUUGGGGAUGCAGUAUGUGAAUUAUAAUCAAAAUGGUCAGAUAUAGUUUUUUGUGCAAGAGCAUAUUCAAGUGGGAGUGAUUAUCGAUUUUGAGCAACAACUUUCAUUACACCUCACAGUGGAAUAUGAUAAGUAGACGAUGACUACAGUGGUAUAUUAUACGUUAGAGAGUUUAGUCUGUGCGAUGAUUUGUAUGCCAUUGGGUACAAUCUUUCCUUUCCUUGGUUAUAGGGGCAGAGUUGAAUGUCAUUUUAUAUGAUGAAGAAAAAUUGGUGGGCUACCUGUAUAUCCUUUCACAUUUGAGGACUUCAGCUUCUGUAUAAAUUAUUGUGAGUUAUUUGAGAUUACCGUCACUGGGAACCCUUUCACCUGGUUGAAUGGUAGAGCUGAUGAAGAAUAUAUUUUCAAAACUCUAGAUAGAAUCAUGAUUUAGGCUGUAUAGGACAUAUUUGGGAAUAUAAAAUGUAAUAUUUGGCUAUAACUGAGUCUGAUCAUGCCCCUUUAAUGCUCAAGGAGAAAUUCAGUAAUUCUCAAAACCUCUUAGGUUUUUUAAGUUCUGAAUAGAAAAAGAUGACUUAAAGGAGGGCCUAUUUGAUGAACAACCAAAUGCAACGAAUAUGGCUAUUUUAUAACAUAUACAAAUUGAACUAAAGUAGUAUCUCCACUGUAAGGAGGAAUUUUUCAUACAAAUGGAUAGAAUCCAGUGGUUCACUAAAAGGGGAUAAAAAUAUAAAUUUUUUCCAUUGUCUGGUGAAAGAAGAAGAAAUAAAUUACAAUUGAAGAGAAGUUUAAAGCAUGAUGGUACUUAGGCUGAAGAAGAUGAGCAGAUUGCUAAUGAAGCAAUGAAUUUUUUCCAAAACCGAUUCUCAGGAGAGCUCUUUACUUACGAACAUUGUUAUAACAUAUCCCAUCAUUAAUUAUUAAAAAAGGUAACAUUAUGCUCAUGUAACGCCCCAAAAAUGGGUCCCGAGAUGUCACACCGUGCUCAAGACUACGAGUAGCCUUAAGCUAACCUUGUUAGCCUUCUACCAAGUUUGAAUCUCAUAAUAAGGUAGUAUAGAUAUCAAAAUCAUACUGAAAGCGGAAACUAUCUGAAUUUAAUAUCCGAAAAUAAUGUCUGGAACCUUAAUACUGAAUAAUCUGAAUAAAAACUAGUAGUCUGACAAUCCUCUACUACUAAUAAAUAGAGAGCCAUUGGGAUACACCCCCAGCUGACUCGAACUGUCUAAAAAGAAUGCUGAAUCAUCUAAGCUGAAAAUCUGAAUAACUAAGUCCCCGAACUAUGAUGACUCACCAACUAUCAGACUGUAGAUACUCGAAAUUACUCAUGCUGUUGGAACUGAGCACCUGAACCUACAUUAUGAGACAAUGUAACACAGACGUAUAUGUGGAUUAGUACUUUUAGGAUGUACUGAGUAUAUGGUUGCAAGCAUAAUUGAUAAUGCCUAGUGGUAAAAAAAUGACACCUUAGUUUAAUGGAUGGGAAUGUGUAAAUGGUUUUAAUUGGGCUUAAUGGGGUUGUGUAGCUCAAGCUGAAGGUCUUAGUCUCAGGGAAGAUGAAUACUGAAAAUCACAUUUACCGAUGUGGGGGUCUUUAUGAUCUUGUGCAUAGUUCACACUUGAUAUGUUUAUAUCUUAGAUUGGUAUGGGGUCAUGGAUUCCCUGACCUUCUUUGGAUUUCCUGGUUCUUGCGGUUACACGCAUUGGGGCCCUUCCAAUGGGAGGAGCCGGACCUGUUAGCCUGUGGGUGCCUUUAGGUUGGUUGGAGAUACACACUCCAGGAUAAUGUGUUAAAUCUCAUGUUAAGUCCUAUUUCCUAUCUCAACAUUUUAUAUAUCUGUAUAUAUGCAUGUAUGUGAACAUGUACAUUGAGUAUGGACUUGAUUUUUAAAUAACAUUACUUUAUUCCUAUCUCGAGUUACAUGCUAGCGAUCUCCUUGCUAACCAUCCUAGGACGCUACAUUGUUUUAUAAUGUAGGGUCCGAGGAUACCUCUUUUGCCCAUGUGUAGCUUUUGGUGACCGGGUUCGUCAGUUGGUUCGCGGUGAAGUGGUAAACUUCCAUCCUCCAAAAAACUUAGCCAUUCCAUCGAUUUAUUUCCAUAUUAUAGAAUUAAAGAGUUCACAUUAGCAUUAUCAUUAUAAUUGUCACCAUCAUGGUUGGGGGCAUGUCCCGAUCUAGUUUUAUAUUCAGAUUGUUUUAGAGGCUUUUGUGAAAACCUAUGGAUUGGGAUAUUUGUUUGGAAUCGUAGAAUCUUCGUCUUGGUGUAUUUAUCUUUUAUAUGUUCGUUUGGAUUGCUUUCACUAUUAUACUAUAUUGUGUUCUGAUUGGCUAGGCUUAGUGGGUGGCUUUCUGUCCUCGAUGGACUUGAGAUACCCGUCACAACUAGGCCCUGAUUCAGGUCGUGAUAGUAAGGGUUGUUAAAAUUCAAUUGAUUUUUCAUAGAGUUCAAAUGCUUUACAGACAUCACAAAUUCUUUUUAAUUGCCUUGAUAGAACCUUUCUAAGACAUAAGGAAAUUCAAAGAUACAAAAGAAGGUUGGGGAUGCAGUAUGUGAAUUAUAAUCAAAAUGGUCAGAUAUAGUUUUUUGUGCAAGAGCAUAUUCAAGUG
rnacentral:lncRNA from 1 species